rnacentral:lncRNA from 1 species
GCAGCGUUCAUGUUAUUGAUUUUGGAAUUUGCUAUGGUUUCCAGUGGCCGUGCCUCGUCAGAAAACUAUCAUUAAGACCUGGUGGUCCUCCGAAGCUUCGAAUUACAGGAAUUGAGCUUCCUCAGCGAGGAUUUAGACCUGCAGAAAGGGUGGAGGAAACCGGACGGCGUCUAGCAAACUACUGCAAGAAGUUCAAUGUACCAUUUGAAUACAACUUCAUUGCACAGAAAUGGGAAACCAUCCGUCUCAAGGAUCUAAAGAUAGACAGGAAUGAAAUAACUCUUGUUAGCUGUUUGUACAGACUGAAGAACCUUCCUGAUGAAACUGUGGCAUUGAAUUGUCCAAGAGAAGCUGUGUUGAAGCUGAUCAGGAAGAUUAAUCCAAAAGUCUUCUUCCAUGGAGUUGCCAAUGGAAGUUAUAACGCACCGUUUUUCCUGACUCGGUUUAAGGAAGCACUCUACCACUUCUCAUCGUUGUUUGAUAUGUUUGAGGCUAAUGUGCCUCGUGAAGACACGCAGAGGUCAAUGCUUGAGAGAGGGUUGUUUGGAAGGGAUGCUAUAAAUGUUAUAGCUUGUGAGGGUGCCGAGAGGGUCGAAAGGCCUGAGACCUACAAGCAGUGGCAGGUCAGGAACAAGAGAGCUGGGUUCAAGCAAAUCAGGUUGGAUUCUGAUUUGGUGAAUGAAACCAAAGCAAUGGUGAAGAAGGAAUACCAUAAAGAUUUUGUAGUCGAUGUGGAUUGUAAAUGGGUUUUGAAGGGAUGGAAAGGACGUAUUUUGUAUGCUUUAUCUGCUUGGGUUCCUGCUUAAGCAAAAUGUCCAAAAGGUGUUUUGAAUGGUAGAUUGAAGUUUCAAAAGGAAUAGUGAACCAACACAUACUAAUUUUGUAUUGAAAAAUGAAUUUGUUUUCAUUGGAAUUUAUUUUUAUGUCUAUGAUAUGAUCUGUUGUUGUUGUCAAGUGUUAAAAAGAUGUAUGUAGAUUAGAGAACAAGUCUUAUUGUUCCAUCAUGGAAUGGAAACAUGGGACCAACAAAAACAUUGAUCACAUUUUAAUGCAUUCACAUUGAAUUCAAAACAGAAGUUAGUACUUCAAAUGAUUUAUAUAUUGAUAUAAUAAUAACAGGUUGUGACGAAUGACUUGGGGAACAAGGGAAAACCUGCAUCUGACUCUUGCACAUGUUUGACCACUUCAUAUUAUUUCAUAUAUUUCUAAAACAUGAAAAAUCAAAGACUAGAUCACCCAGCACUUAUCAAUCAAUCUGGUAUUAUUACGAUAUAAUAUCAUAUCAUAUAUCAUCAUAAGAUAAAAUAAUAAGAAAGAGGGAUUGGCGGCUAUGAUACUCCUUCCUAGCAUCUUCCUUAGUACAAAGAAAGAAUCAUUUAUGAAUUCUAUAUAACAAAGCUGUGACUCCAAUUCAUCAAACAAUGUUAGCUCCUCUUCAGUUGUUAGAUAGCAACUUUUCCUAGGUUUGUCCACGGUUAUAUUCACUAGUGUCUACAAUAUUUUUACUCUAAUUCAUUCUUCUUUGUUCUAUUCUAAAUAUCAAAAUCAUUAUUAUCAUCCAAAAUAGAGUCGGCUAUGUAGUUUUAUGAAUCUUAUUUUCUUGCUGUUAUCAAAUAUAUCAAUCAACUAUGCUAUCUUUUCCUGCUUCUGUUUUUGUUCUGUCUAUGUUUUAGUUGAUUCAUCAAAGUUUUCCUAAUCAGAUGAAUAUUCUUGGCUUCUCAGACACAAUCUUCCAAAACAUAUAUUGUAAGAGUCUGAAUUUUUUGUUUCAAUUUUGAUAUUAGCCUUGUUUCAAUAUGCUUUCUCCAAACACCUUUCUGCAAGAUUUUAGUGUUCCAAACUCAGUAAACCAAGUAACAAAUGGGUUUGAAUUAGAAGAUUCACCAUCUUCACCUUCUUCUUCUGGCACAAGCUCAAAUGGACAAUUCUUGGAACCGACAAGAUAUUCCAAUAACAUCCUAAGAUACAUAAAUGACAUCCUCAUGGAUGAAGAAGAUGACUUGGAGCAAAAACCUUGCAUGUUGCAGGAAUGUUUAAGACUUCAGGCUGCUGAAAAGUCCUUCUAUGAUGUUCUUGGCCAUAACCAGCCUUCACCGAAUGAUAGCACUGACCCAGAUGGAAAUUUCAAUUGCGCUGCUAGUUUUGAGAGAAAUGGCAGCAGCUGCAUCGCUGAUAACUCAUAUGAAUCUAACUGGGUCAAUCAUGUCGUCGAAUUCGAAUCUUUUCCCAUACAACUAAAAAGUCCUUUAAUAGAAAAAAACUACUAUGACUUGACAGAAGCUGAUCCAGUUGUCAUCGAGACACAAGGUGCUAACCAUUUUCACAACGGAACUUGGAGUUGGAAUGACAUUCAACCAGUGACGUUGGAAGAAGUUUUACCUUCAACAGUACCAGAAAAAAGAAGUCGUAAGAUGGAUAGAGAUAAUGAUACUUGUAAUGAACAAGAGGGAAGAGGUAGCAAGGUUUCAGCUAUUCUCUCUGAUGAAUUAGAGCCACCAGAGAUUUUAGAUGAGGUACUGCUUUAUCAGAAAGGAAAGACUCUCACUCAAUACCAACAAGCAUCACAUAAUGUUGAUUCAGGAGGAAAGGCAAAGGAAACACAUUCGCGUUUGAAGAAAGCAUCUACGACAAACAAUGCCGCGGCUGUGGAUUUGUGGACCAUGCUAAAUCAAUGUGCACAAGCUGUGGCGAGCUACGAUCAAAGGAAUACAGAUGAGCUACUCAAACAGAUUAGGCAUCACUCUUCGCCUUUCGGCGAUGGACUCCAACGUUUAGCUCAUUACUUUGCUAAUGGUCUUGAGAUAAGAUUGGCUGCUGAGACGCCAUCAUAUCAGCCUCUUGAUGUGGCAACUGCUGGAGAUAUGUUGAAAGCUUACAAACUAUUUGUUACCGCGUCUCCUUUGCAGAGAGUGACAAAUACUUUGCUAACCAAAACGAUUUUCAAAAUAGUGAAGAACGAGAGCAGCGUUCAUGUUAUUGAUUUUGGAAUUUGCUAUGGUUUCCAGUGGCCGUGCCUCGUCAGAAGACUAUCAUUAAGACCUGGUGGUCCUCCAAAGCUUCGAAUUACAGGAAUUGAGCUUCCUCAACCAGGAUUUAGACCUACAGAAAGGGUGGAGGAAACCGGACGGCGUCUAGCAAAAUACUGCAAGAAGUUCAAUGUACCAUUUGAAUACAACUUCAUUGCACAGAAAUGGGAAACCGUCUGUCUCGAGGAUCUAAAGAUAGACAGGAAUGAAAUAACUCUUGUUAGCUGUUUGUACAGACUGAAGAAC